rnacentral:tRNA from 1 species
GGCGGCCGUGGAUCAGGCGGAUCUGCCCCGGCUGGCGUCCGGGGAGACGGUGCUGUUCCUGGCCGAACGGUCGACG